GACGAACGCUGGCGGCGUGCUUAACACAUGCAAGUCGAACGGAAAGGCCCUGCUUUUGUGGGGGGCUGGGGUGGCGAAGGGGAGGGUAACACAUGAGGAGCCUGCCCUUCACCUUGGGAUAACAUCAGGAAACGGGGGUUAAUACCGGACAGGAGCUCCUGCUGCACGGUGGGGGUGGGAAUGUGGCGGCGGUUGGGGAUGGAUGCGCGGCGCUUGAGCUUGUUGGGGGGGUAGUGGCUUACCAAGGCUUCGAAGGGUAGCCGGCCUGAGAGGGUGACAGGCCACAUUGGGACUGCGAUACGGCCCAGACUCCUACGGGAGGCAGCAGUGGGGAAUAUUGCACAAUGGGCGGAAGCCUGAUGCAGCAGCGCCGCGUGCGGGAUGACGGCCUUCGGGUUGUAAACCGCUUUCGCCUGUGACGAAGCGUGAGUGACGGUAAUGGGUAAAGAAGCACCGGCUAACUACGUG
rnacentral:rRNA from 1 species